rnacentral:rRNA from 1 species
GCGCAGGAAAAGAAACCAACAGGGAUUGCCCCAGUAACGGCGAGUGAAGCGGCAACAGCUCAAAUUUGAAAUCUGGCUUCGGCCCGAGUUGUAAUUUGCAGAGGAAGCUUUAGGCGCGGCACCAUCUGAGUCCCCUGGAACGGGGCGCCAAAGAGGGUGAGAGCCCCGUAUAGAUGGACGCCUAGCCUGUGUAAAGCUCCUUCGACGAGUCGAGUAGUUUGGGAGUGCUGCUCAAAAUGGGAGGUAAAUUUCUUCUAAAGCUAAAUAUUGGCCAGAGACCGAUAGCGCACAAGUAGAGUGAUCGAAAGAUGAAAAGCACUUUGAAAAGAGGGUUAAAUAGCACGUGAAAUUGUUGAAAGGGAAGCGCUUGUGACCAGACUUGCGCCGGGCGGAUCAUCCGGUGUUCUCACCGGUGCACUCCGCCCGGCUCAGGCCAGCAUCGGUUCUCGUGGGGGGAUAAAGGCACCGGGAACGUAGCUCCUCCGGGAGUGUUAUAGCCCGGGGCGUAAUGCCCUCGCGGGGACCGAGGACCGCGCUUCUGCAAGGAUGCUGGCGUAAUGGUCAUCAGCGACCCGUCUUGAAACACGGACCAAGGAGUCAAGGUUUUGCGCGAGUGUUUGGGUGUAAAACCCGCACGCGUAAUGAAAGUGAACGUAGGUGAGAGCUUCGGCGCAUCAUCGACCGAUCCUGAUGUUCUCGGAUGGAUUUGA